CUCUGACGAAGAUGAGGUAGCCCCAAAGCCGAAGAAUCAAUCUCAACUCAAUAAAACGAGGCACUCAAUUCCACCAAUAGGAGUUCAAGGUACCCUGCAAUUCGAGGACGAAGCCUAUCAGACAAGGUGAUGGUGAAUGAUUGCAAAAGUGGAGAUUUUGGAUGCUUUUUAUGAAUAUUUGAACUGUUGACUAGAAUUUCGCAUGUUAUGGACCAAUUUGUAGAAUUUGUCCAUUAAGCCGUGCCCACAGCUUAAGUUCACGUGGAUACAAAGCAGAGACAGAGUCAAAUGCAUGACUGAAGAUUCUAUUUUGAUCGACUUUAGGCCCCAUUUUGGAAAUAUUAUAUUUU
rnacentral:misc_RNA from 1 species